AUGACGCUACUUGCUCUAUAAAAGCGUAUACAGCCUUUUCGAGCGAGCAGAAUUGACAACGCCUCUGGCGAGCAAACAACGCGUCAAAGCGCAUCAAAGAACAAGAUGGUGAAGACCUCGCUGCUUGUUUUCCUUGUCGUCGCAAUCGCAUUCGGUGUCCUAUGCCGCGCGGACGGGGGCCCGCUGAGUUCCAUGGGCCUCACCAACCCACUAACCGAGCUACAAAAGGCGGCGCCGGCGAGCGACCUCACUUCCCUCCUUUCGCCAGAGAAGUCAAGCCCAGAAAACGAAGACAGCUCGACUCCAUCGAAAGAGGACAGUUCUAGCGACUCCGAAUAGAAAAUGCCGGGUACCUUCACGUUCUCCAUGAAGAUUAUGGCAGUGACCUCAAUUAAUAAAAGUUGCAAUUCGUCUCCUUCAA